rnacentral:rRNA from 1 species
AGUGAACGCUGGCGGUAGGCCUAACACAUGCAAGUCGAACGGCAGCACAGUAAGAGCUUGCUCUUACGGGUGGCGAGUGGCGGACGGGUGAGGAAUACAUCGGAAUCUACUCUUUCGUGGGGGAUAACGUAGGGAAACUUACGCUAAUACCGCAUACGACCUACGGGUGAAAGCAGGGGAUCUUCGCACCUUGCGCGAUUGAAUGAGCCGAUGUCGGAUUAGCUAGUUGGCGGGGUAAAGGCCCACCAAGGCGACGAUCCGUAGCUGGUCUGAGAGGAUGAUCAGCCACACUGGAACUGAGACACGGUCCAGACUCCUAAGGGAGGCAGCAGUGGGGAAUAUUGGACAAUGGGCGCAAGCCUGAUCCAGCCAUACCGCGUGGGUGAGGAAGGCCUUCGGGUUGUAAAGCCCUUUUGUUGGGAAAGAAAAGCAGCAGGUUAAUACCCCGCUGUUCUGACGGUACCCAAAGAAUAAGCACCGGCUAACUUCGUG